GACUAACGCUGGCGGCGUGCCUAACACAUGCAAGUCGAACGAGUAGCAAUACUAGUGGCAGACGGGUGAGUAACGCGUAGGUAAUGUGCCUUCUUACUGGGGAUACCGUUCCGAAAGGAGCGUUAAUACCGAAUGUGACGGAGACGGGGCAUCCCGAUUUCGUUAAACUGUCAGGGUGAGAAGAGCAGCCUGCGUUCUAUCAGCUUGUUGGUGGGGUAAUGGCCUACCAAGGCUACGACGGAUAGCCGGUCUGAGAGGAUGAUCGGCCACACUGGGACUGAGACACGGCCCAGACUCCUACGGGAGGCAGCAGUGAGGAAUAUUGCGCAAUGGGCGAAAGCCUGACGCAGCGACGCCGCGUGAGGGAUGAAGGCCU
rnacentral:rRNA from 1 species